rnacentral:rRNA from 1 species
AUACGUAGGGGGCGAGCGUUGUCCGGAAUGAUUGGGCGUAAAGGGCGCGUAGGCGGCGCGGUAAGUCUGGAGUGAAAGUCCUGCUUUCAAGGUGGGAAUUGCUUUGGAUACUGCCGCGCUUGAGUGCAGGAGAGGUUAUCGGAAUUCCCGGUGUAGCGGUGAAAUGCGUAGAGAUCGGGAGGAACACCAGUGGCGAAGGCGGGUAACUGGACUGCAACUGACGCUGAGGCGCGAAAGUGUGGGGAGCAAACAGGAUUAGAUGCCCUGGUAGUCCACACUGUAAACGAUGAAUGCUAGGUGUAAGAGGUAUCGACCCCUUUUGUGCCGGAGUCAACACAAUAAGCAUUCCGCCUGGGGAGUACGGCCGCAAGGUUGAAACUCAAAGGAAUUGACGGGG